ACGGGAGAAUUGCUAGCUUGCUAAUAAUUCUCUAGUGGCGCACGGGUGAGUAACACGUGAGUAACCUGCCCCCAAGAGUGGGAUAGCCCCGGGAAACUGGGAUUAAUACCGCAUAAAAUCGCAAGAUUAAAGCAGCAAUGCGCUUGGGGAUGGGCUCGCGUCCUAUUAGUUAGUUGGUGAGGUAACGGCUCACCAAGGCGAUGACGGGUAGCCGGUCUGAGAGGAUGUCCGGCCACACUGGAACUGAGACACGGUCCAGACACCUACGGGUGGCAGCAGUCGAGAAUCAUUCACAAUGGGGGAAACCCUGAUGGUGCGACGCCGCGUGGGGGAAUGAAGGUCUUCGGAUUGUAAACCCCUGUCAUGUGGGAGCAAAUUAAAAAGAUAGUACCACAAGAGGAAGAGACGGCUAACUCUGUGCCAGCAGCCGCGGUAAUACAGAGGUCUCAAGCGUUGUUCGGAAUCACUGGGCGUAAAGCGUGCGUAGGCGGUUUCGUAAGUCGUGUGUGAAAGGCGGGGGCUCAACCCCCGGACUGCACAUGAUACUGCGAGACUAGAGUAAUGGAGGGGGAACCGGAAUUCUCGGUGUAGCAGUGAAAUGCGUAGAUAUCGAGAGGAACACUCGUGGCGAAGGCGGGUUCCUGGACAUUAACUGACGCUGAGGCACGAAGGCCAGGGGAGCGAAAGGGAUUAGAUACCCCUGUAGUCCUGGCAGUAAACGGUGCACGCUUG
rnacentral:rRNA from 1 species